GUAUAAUUUUUAUUUUAAAAUUAAAUUUUUUAUUUUAUUAGUUUAGUUAUAAAUUUUUUUAUUUUUAAGUUUUUUUAUAGAUAUAAUUUUUAUUUGUUAAAAAAUUUUUUAGUACCUUUUGUAUCAGGGUAAUUCAAUUUUUUUAUAAAUAUUCCUUUCCCGAAAUUUAAAGGUCAAUUUAAAAAUUGUUAUAUUUGUUUUAUAACAUAAGCUAAUUUUUUAAUUGAAAAGAUAUUUUAUUCGAUUUUUAUAAUAUCUGGUUAUUUAAGAUUAAAUUUAAUUUUUAAAUUUUUGUUUUAAUUUAUAUUUAAUAAGGGAUAAUCUUUAUUAAUUUUUAUAAUUUUAUUUAUUAUAUUUUUAUUAACUUUUAUAUUUUGAAUUUUAGUUAUUAAUAUAUUAAAAUAUUUAAAUAUUAAUUUAAUUAAAUUUAUUUUUUUAUUAAAUUGAUUUAUAUAAUUUUUUUAUAAUUUUAAGUUUGAUUUAAUUAAUAAAAUUUUAUAUUAAAAUUUAAUGAAUUCGACAUAUUUAAUUUUCAACUGUUUAUCAAAAACAUUUUUUUUAGAUUUUAUUAAAAAUAUGUUCUGCCCUAUGAAUAUUUAAAUGGCUGCAGUAUUUUAACUGUACAAAGGUAGCAUAAUAAUUAGUUUUUUAAUUGAGGACUGGAAUGAAAGAAUUAAUGAGAAAUUAAUUUUAUUAAUUUUAAUUUUUAAAUUUUAUAUUUAAGUAAAAAAGCUUAAUUAAUUUUUUGGGACGAAAAGACCCUAUAGAACUUUAUUAUAUUAAUUAAAUUAAGUUUAAAUUUUUUAUUAAUUUUUUUUUUUAAUUUUGUUGGGGUGAUAAUUAAAUAAAUCUUUAAUUUAUUGUUUCAUUUUUUUAUGUUUUUUUCUUGAAUUAAUAAUUUUAAUUAUAAGAUGAAGUUACCUUAGGGAUAACAGCGUAAUUUUUAUGGAGAGUUCUUAUCUAUAUAAAAGAUUGCGACCUCGAUGUUGAAUUAAGAUAAAUUAAGGAAGCAGAAUUUUUUUUAUUAAGUCUGUUCGACUUUUAAAUUCUUACAUGAUUUGAGUUCAAACCGGUGUAAGCCAGGUUGGUUUCUAUCUUAAUAGAUUUAUUUUAAUUUAGUACGAAAGGACCAAUUAAAUUAUUUUUAAUAUUUUUUUUAAAUAA
rnacentral:rRNA from 1 species